CUGGCGGCGUGCCUAACACAUGCAAGUCGAACGAGAAAGGGGAGCAAUCCCUGAGUAAAGUGGCGACCGGGUGAGUAACACGUGACUAACCUGCCUUCGAGUGGGGGAUAACCUCGGGAAACCGGGGCUAAUACCGCAUAAUGCCUUCGGGUUAAAGAAGCAAUUCGCUUGAAGAGGGGGUCGCGGCUGAUUAGCUAGUUGGUGAGGUAACGGCUCACCAAGGCGAUGAUCGGUAGCCGGCCUGAGAGGGCGCACGGCCACACUGGAACUGAAACACGGUCCAGACUCCUACGGGAGGCAGCAGUGGGGAAUUUUGCGCAAUGGGGGAAACCCUGACGCAGCAACGCCGCGUGGAGGAUGAAGUCCCUUGGGACGUAAACUCCUUUCGACCGGGACGAUAAUGACGGUACCGGUGGAAGAAGCCCCGGCUAACUUCGUGCCAGCAGCCGCGGUAAUACGAGGGGGGCAAGCGUUGUUCGGAAUUAUUGGGCGUAAAGGGCGCGUANGCGGUGCGGUAAGUCACCUGUGAAACCUCUGGGCUUAACUCAGAGCCUGCAGGCGAAACUGCCGUGCUC
rnacentral:rRNA from 1 species